rnacentral:lncRNA from 1 species
AAACAUGAUCGCUUCUUCUCUCAUUUCUUAGAAUAUAGAUCCAUUAAAAGAAUGAAUCAACGGGCAGAGAUACAUAAGGACGAGCUCAAACUCCGUGCUAACGCAGGAAUCGCACAGGUAUAUGAUUUAUCAUUUUUUGUUAGACACACACAAAAGAAAAAAAAAAAAUUCAUUGGGAGAGAUAUGAUUUAUGAUGUAAACCAAAAACUCUACAUCCAUCCUAAAAUCAAAGAGGAAUAUUUGAUGUUUUAUUUUAUUUCAUUAUUAUGAUUCAGGUUUUGAGUGGAGAAUAAGAAAAAACAAAAAUAAUCAUCAUUUACUUGUUAUAUUAACAGUUAUAUUUAUUAGUGUCUUCUCUUCCAUAUUUAAUAGAUUAGUUUCUUCCAGUGACCCUUUGAAACUUAUAUAGCAUAAUAUAUGCCAAUGUGAAUCCCUUUCGUGCGUUUUCAGGUAUCGGAGCCACGAAUUAAGAAGAAGGGGGAGAGAGAGAGAUGAAUAAGUUGAAGCAGUGAAGAGUAAUAAACACAUGCAUGAUAGUUGGUGUUUUAAUUUCUCUCAUUUCAUUACUAGUUAGAUAUUGCAGCCAAUGAGAAAGUAAGAGUUGCAACUGGAUCCAAAAAAAUAAGUCAGUUUUAUUUGGUGUAGAAGUUAGACAUCUUUAGCUGUGUUCAGAUGUGUGGAAUCAUGGCAGAGAUAUAUAAUAAUUCGAUCGUCAAUUUGUUUCGG